rnacentral:ncRNA from 1 species
CAGAGUAGAGCUACGAGCGUCAAGUGCUGUCGGAACGGGGAGUUGUCCGGCGGACGAAAAAGUAAGAUUCUCUUGCCUUUGCGGUUCGUAUCUCGCAUCCCGCUG